CCCAUUUUUUCUUUUGAGACAAGAUCUCGCUCUGUUGACCAGGCUGCAGUGUAGUGGCAUGAUCUCAGUUCACUGCAGCCUGGACCUCCUGAGCUCAAGUCAUCCUCCUACCUCCACCUCCAGAGCAGCUGGGAGUACAGGUGCACACGAUUAUGCCCCGUUAUUUCCUUUUUUUUUUUUUUGGCAGAGAUAGGGGUCUCACUAUGUUGCCCAGGCUGGUCUCGAACUCCUAGACUCAAGCAAUUCUCUUGCUUCAGUCUCCUAAAGUGUGGAGACUACAGGCGUGAGCCACUGUGCCUAGCCCCCCUUUCUUCAUUACUGCGCUUCCCUCCCUAAUUCUGUACAUAUCUCUCAUUCUCCCCCUUCUCUCUCUAGCUCUUGUUUUCUUUUCUUUCUCCCUGGGAUUCUGCUCUUCAUUUUGUACCCCUCUUCUCUUCUGCUGUUUAUCCCCCUUCUUCCCUCUAUUCCUUCUCUUCCAUCUCUUCUGCUCCAUCCUCGCAACUUAUUUAACCUCUUAUUGCUCCUUCUCCCCAAUCUUUCAAUCGUCCUCAAUCUCCAUCUAUUUCUCCAGUUGCUUUUCUCCACCUGCUUUUCUAGGUUUUCUACUGCUGUCUGUCUCCUGAUCCCUUCGGCCCACACAAUCGCAGGAGGGUUUGGAGUAAGACGCCUGCAUCCCGGAGGAGCGCGUUUUCCAAGGGCUGGAGCUCGGCAGGCAAGAAGACCCCAUGUCACAGGACAGGGCCCUGCGUCCUUCCCAGUCAGACAGACCCGGGACGGGACCAGCCUCCAGACGACUUUAAACCCGAAAGGAAGCGACACCCGGCCUCUCACUGGGCUGUCUCAAUUUGCUCUGGGCGAAGGAAGACGGGCGAGAAUUUCCAG
rnacentral:lncRNA from 1 species